rnacentral:lncRNA from 1 species
AUUUAAAACGUUAACAGGACAAUUUUAAUUUGAUCUGUGCAAAAGUGAACAGUUUGAACAAAAACGAUAUGUGCAAAAGUGAACAGUAAAUUCUCACAAGACAGUUUGGAUAUAAGUUUAUUAAGAUGAUCAAAUUUGGAUAUAUAAUCUUUCACUUUGGAUUUAAAAAUGAACAAUUUGGAUCCCACCGCUAGCCACCAAAUUAUGUAACGUGUACACAG